AGUCGAGCGGUAGAGAGGAGCUUGCUUCCCUUGAGAGCGGCGGACGGGUGAGUAAUGCCUAGGAAUCUGCCUAGUGGUGGGGGAUAACGUUCGGAAACGGACGCUAAUACCGCAUACGUCCUACGGGAGAAAGCGGGGGACCUUCGGGCCUCGCGCCAUUAGAUGAGCCUAGGUCGGAUUAGCUAGUUGGUGAGGUAAAGGCGCACCAAGGCGACGAUCCGUAACUGGUCUGAGAGGAUGAUCAGUCACACUGGAACUGAGACACGGUCCAGACUCCUACGGGAGGCAGCAGUGGGGAAUAUUGGACAAUGGGGGAAACCCUGAUCCAGCCAUGCCGCGUGUGUGAAGAAGGUCUUCGGAUUGUAAAGCACUUUAAGUUGGGAGGAAGGGUAGUAACUUAAUACGUUGCUACUUUGACGUUACCGACAGAAUAAGCACCGGCCAACUCUGUGCCAGCAGCCGCGGUAAUACAGAGGGUGCAAGCGUUAAUCGGAAUUACUGGGCGUAAAGCGCGCGUAGGUGGUUUGUUAAGUUGGAUGUGAAAGCCCCGGGCUCAACCUGGGAACUGCAUCCAAAACUGGCAAGCUAGAGUACGGUAGAGGGUGGUGGAAUUUCCUGUGUAGCGGUGAAAUGCGUAGAUAUAGGAAGGAACACCAGUGGCGAAGGCGACCACCUGGACUGAUACUGACACUGAGGUGCGAAAGCGUGGGGAGCAAACAGGAUUAGAUACCCUGGUAGUCCACGCCGUAAACGAUGUCAACUAGCCGUUGGGUUCCUUGAGAGCUUAGUGGCGCAGCUAACGCAUUAAG
rnacentral:rRNA from 1 species